GUAGACCUCAUUAAUAUCUUCUAAAAACGAUAUCAAUAAGUGAGCAUUAUUGAGAGCAUGAGUUCUUUAAGAAGACUUUUUAUAGACCUCAUUAACAUCUUCUAAAAACGAUAUCAAUAAGUUAUCUUUUCAUAAGAUGUCUUUCAAAAAAGCUCUUUAUGAUACCUUCCGUGCAAUCGUGCCUCGCGCGGUUAUUUGCGACCAUUUACUUUCAUAUGGCAAAAGGUAUAUAGCGCUACAUUGCACGCAGAAAUAUCUAUAAAAUACAAAGAAUUACUAUAUAUAUAGAGAGAGAAUUACUCUCAAAGAGAGAAAGAACUUUGGCACUAUUUUUCGGUCUCACUCGGCUUUAAUUUUUUUCUAUAAUAUUGUUAAUAAAGUUCACUGAGUGGAACAUAACCUGACUACAAGAGACUAGGAAGAAGGAAACAAGAGAAGUCAUUAUCAGUGGUAGUGGAAACAGUAUUUCUUCCCAUUCUAUCCAAACAGUUAUUAAAAUCUGGUUACAGCAUGCUGGAGAUUGGAUCAAUCAAAAUACCAAACGACAUGAAUUGAAGAAAUGAAAUGUUUAGAAAAAUAGUGGAGAAAAA